AAUUUAAACUCGAUGAAGAAUUCGUCGGAAAACAAUGGCGGCGGCAUUCAAGCCACAUGUGUUCAGACCACGUGAUUUACACCGGUCUCCGGGCCACGCAUCCACCGGCUGGAAUUAAAUUACUUUCUACGGGGCGUUCGCCUUUCAUGAAAUCGACGCGAUCCCUUAACAGCGGCAAACUUAUUAUCAACGAUACACACCGGACGUCCGUUUCAUUAAACCGCGCCUAAGAACUUGACGUGGGUAAAACGCGAGCUUAUUUCAGAUCGUCUGGGCAAUAAUUAAGCAUAAUUAAUGUCUCGAGUAAUUGGACAGGGAGAUGCUGACCAAAGGAGGUUCCCAAAAUCAGGAUAAAAGGCCUCCAUCUGGUUUGAAAUGAGGAAAUGUUCUCCUUUGGGAAUUUUGCAAAAUUAAUUGGUUGACGGAAAUAAAAGAGAGGAUGAAGAGAAACCAUGAAGAGUGAAUGUAUUGAAAACCACAGUGUAAAGCAGUAAAUUUGUUAAAUUGGAUCUAACUAACUCGUAUAGGACUUCACCCGUCAUCAAAGAAACCUCGCAUGCUACGGUAUUCUACACAACCAAGUAUUCAGGGAACGAGGAAAAACGCGUUUUCCCUGAGCAGCCAGCUGGCUUUCAUUUGCCUGUAACGGGAAGUGAACGACGUAAUAGGAACUGGAGGAAUCCAGCAACGAUGAACUGCAAGGUCAAUGAUUUUCCGAGCAGACCGAUGAACUUGCCUUGCACAUAAGUACAUACGUGCACUACAGAAGGUACCAAUACUGGAAAGCAAAUGAGAAAGAAAGAGAUAGAGAACGAGAGGAGGCAAGGUCGUUGCCUAGAUAACAGUUGCAAGAAUAGUUAUGAAUUGGUUGGAAGUAGUUUAAAGAAAAUUGGACAAAGGAAAUUUUUUCAAG